UACGGGGGGGGUAAGCGUUGUUCGGAAUUACUGGGCGUAAAGCGAGUGUAGGCGGUUUGGUAAGUCGGAUGUGAAAGCCCCGGGCUCAACCCGGGAAGUGCACUCGAUACUGCCAAGCUAGAGUAUCGGAGAGGUUGGUGGAAUUCUCGGUGUAGAGGUGAAAUUCGUAGAUAUCGAGAGGAACACCGGUGGCGAAGGCGGCCAACUGGACGAAUACUGACGCUGAGACUCGAAAGCGUGGGGAGCAAACAGG
rnacentral:rRNA from 1 species